AACUUUUAGCAACGGAUCUCUUGGUUCUCCCAUCGAUGAAGAACGCAGCGAAAUGCGAUAAGUAAUGUGAAUUGCAGAAUUCAGUGAAUCAUCGAAUCUUUGAACGCACCUUGCGCUCGUGGGUAUUCCCACGAGCAUGCCUGUUUGAGUGUCAUGACUCCCUCGUCGUGCCGAGCGUUUGCGCUUGGUCAGCGGCGGAUGUGGGCGUCGCCCGAGAGUGAUCUUGGGCCCGCCUGAAAGAGAGUAGCGGAAGGGCACGUCGUCGCGUCAGCUCGGAAAAGCGCCACUGUUAUGAUUUUUAAUCAGUGGGUGCGAGGAAGAGCGUAUGGGGCGGGCGGCAAGCAUCUGCUUCGAACUUGCUUUGACAAAAGCCACUUUUUCUCAUCUGGCCUCAAAUCAGGUAGGACUACCCGCUGAACUUAAGCAUAUCAAUAAGCGGAGGCU
rnacentral:misc_RNA from 1 species